UUAACCUGUACACUCACCAGAUGACAGGUGAAGAAGACGUAUCAGACGGCUGGUUUUCGGAUAAUUAGAAAUCCAGACAAAUGGAAGAAAACAAUUGAGUUUUCCUUCUGAAUACAAUUAACAGUAUGUCAAACCCUCCGUUUCCAAGAAAAGAAGUCAGAUCACUAGUCGGAUGUGUCACGUGCUUAAAUUACCUGGACUACUUGUAUUAACUGCGUCAUGACAACGAAGUUGGUUAUCUUUUUUCUCAAGUCUGAUAUCAACCAUAUUUGUCAGCAAAACGGAAAAAAACGAAAUAUUUUGUUUGGUUCCUGUUUACUUUUAUUGUAAGUGCCUUUCUUUAGUAAUCCAGUACGUUACUUUACAAAUGCUGUCGACUGAAUUUAACCCAGAGAAUUCAUUUAAAGCCACAUGUCCUGUCUUUUGACAUAGCUAUAAAAAUACUACAUACCUGCCAGAUGAUUUCUUCGGGUUUUAGUGACUGGGUUACCAGAGGUCACAUCUGCUAACAAGGAGUUCUGUUUCAUUCCCCCCUUGUCUUUCCUUCAGGUGGUGCCAAAUAAUGACUACAUUUUAUUACCAGACGCCUCCAGUAGUUCCUUGUCUUUCCGCCAGGUGGUGCCAAACCUUCACUUAAUAAUGGCUAUACGUCACACUGACGGUAGUUUGAUUUUUUCACGCAAAGUUUUAACAUGAGGAGAAGCUCUUCCAGAAGAAGAGUUUGCAUGGAGACUUAGGGGUAACGCGUCACCAUUCCAGACCACAAGGACCAGAGGAAACAGGCUCAGCAUCAUCCGCAUUAUCAACAUGCUUCUCUCGACCGCUGUACGAUUGUCCCAUCUAACUCCCAUCGUCAUGUUUUAGAGAGGUACCUUCACA